GGCACCUUAGCUCAGUUGGUAGAGCGACGGCCUGAAGAGCCGUGCGUCGCUGGUUCAAAUCCAGCAGGUGCCACCA
rnacentral:tRNA from 1 species